UUACAGCCAUAUCAUACUGAAACACCAGUUCCCAUAUGAUCACAGAAGUUAAGCAAUGUUGAGCUUGGUCAGUAACUAGAUGGGUGGCUGCUUGGGAAUACCAGGUGCUGUAAG